rnacentral:rRNA from 1 species
GACGAACGCUGGCGGCGUGCUUAACACAUGCAAGUCGAACGGAAAGGCCCUGCUUUUGUGGGGUGCACGAGUGGCGAACGGGUGAGUAACACGUGAGUAACCUGCCCUUGACUUUGGGAUAACUUCAGGAAACUGGGGCUCAUAUCGGAUAGGAGCUCCUGCAGCAUGGUGGGGGUUGGAAAGUUUCGGCGGUUGGGGAUGGACUCGCGGCUUAUCGGCUUGUUGGUGGGGUAGUUGCUUACCAAGCCUUUGACGGGUAGCCGGCCUGAGAGGGUUACCGGCGACAUUGGGACUGCGAGACGGCGCAGACUCCUACGGGAGGCAGCGGUGGGGAAUAUUGCACAAUGGGCGGAAGCCUGAUGCAGCAACGCCGCGUGCGGGAUGACGGCCUUCGGGUUGUAAACCGCUUUCGCCUGUGACGAAGCGUGAGUGACGGUAAUGGGUAAAGAAGCACCGGCUAACUACGUG